AUGAUCUUGCUAAAUAUUCUUUUGCUUGCAAACUCUGUUUAUGGAUCUGAAAAGAAGGGCGUGGGUGCAUAUCCUGGAAAUCUUUUGUGUGAUGACUUCAAAGUUUUGAACAACAUGUCAUGGUGGUAUGACUGGAGUAUGGACCUGUCGUUUUGGCAUGAAAAAGUGUCAAAAGUGUGUCCACCUUCCACGGACCAGUCAAUGCCGCCACAUAUUCCAAUGGUAAAGAGAUACAACAACCACACAGUUCUUAAUAUACAAGGAGAUGCACCGUUUAUUUUGGGUUUCAACGAGCCCCAUCGCCAUGGUAUGACCCCACAGCAAGCCGCUGAUGUCUGGCCGGAAAUAGAAAAGCACUCUCAUGGAAAACCUCUUGUCAGUCCUGCACCAGCUGCUCAAAAUUUUCACUGGAGCGAUGAGUUCUUUAGGUUAUGCCAUGGUUGUCGUAUAGAUUAUGUCGCUGCGCAUGUGUACAGUUGCGAUGCCCAUCAUGUUAUGUCAUUCCUGCAGAAACUGUAUCAUAGAUAUAACAAGAAAGUAUGGCUGACAGAGUUCGCGUGCCCGCACUCUACAGACGAAAAUUAACAGUUACAUUUAAUGCAGACUUUAUUGCCCCAACUAGAAGCCGCAGAUUACGUUUAUAGGUAUGCUUGGUUCUCUGCCAGAAGAUUGAAAAAUUCUUUUGUAAAUCCGGUGGUAAGUUUGUUACACCAGAAUUCCUCAACUUUGACGACCAUUGGCCACUUCUAUAACAAUUUUCAAGGAAAUGGGCACAACGCGCAUAUUGUUGGGUGA